UCCCUGGUCGUCUAGUGGGUUAAGGACCUGGCAUUGUCACUGCUGUGGUAUAGGUUCGAUCCCUGGCCUGGGAA
rnacentral:tRNA from 1 species